GAAUCUGGUGGCUAGAAAUGACUUUGCUCAUGUUUCUUCCACCUUUGAUGAUCUUUCGUUGUUCUUCAAUGAACAUGGAUGAAGGGAAUAUGUUCUGAGUGGA
rnacentral:snoRNA from 8 species